rnacentral:tRNA from 1 species
AGGGAUGUAGCUCAGUGGCACAGCAUCUGCCUGGCAAGCGCGAGGUCCCGAGUUCGAUUCCUGGUAUCCCGC